rnacentral:rRNA from 1 species
CUUCGGGUGUUAUUAGAGUGGCAGACGGGUGAGUAACGCGUGGGAACCUACCUUAUAGUACGGAAUAGCCAUUGGAAACGAUGAUUAAUACCGUAUAAGCUCUCCGGAGGAAAGAUUUAUCGCUAUAAGAUGGGCCCGCGUUAGAUUAGUUUGUUGGUGAGGUAAUGGCUCACCAAGACUACGAUCUAUAGCUGGUUUGAGAGGAUGAUCAGCCACACUGGGACUGAGACACGGCCCAGACUCC